rnacentral:rRNA from 1 species
UACGUAGGGUGCAAGCGUUAAUCGGAAUUACUGGGCGUAAAGAGCUCGUAGGCGGUCUGUCGCGUCUGCUGUGAAAGCCCGGGGCUCAACCCCGGGUCUGCAGUGGGUACGGGCAGACUAGAGUGCAGUAGGGGAGACUGGAAUUCCUGGUGUAGCGGUGAAAUGCGCAGAUAUCAGGAGGAACACCGAUGGCGAAGGCAGGUCUCUGGGCUGUAACUGACGCUGAGGAGCGAAAGCAUGGGGAGCGAACAGG